GACGAACGCUGGCGGCGUGCCUAAUACAUGCAAGUCGAACGAACUCUGGUAUUGAUUGGUGCUUGCAUCAUGAUUUACAUUUGAGUGAGUGGCGAACUGGUGAGUAACACGUGGGAAACCUGCCCAGAAGCGGGGGAUAACACCUGGAAACAGAUGCUAAUACCGCAUAACAACUUGGACCGCAUGGUCCGAGUUUGAAAGAUGGCUUCGGCUAUCACUUUUGGAUGGUCCCGCGGCGUAUUAGCUAGAUGGUGGGGUAACGGCUCACCAUGGCAAUGAUACGUAGCCGACCUGAGAGGGUAAUCGGCCACAUUGGGACUGAGACACGGCCCAAACUCCUACGGGAGGCAGCAGUAGGGAAUCUUCCACAAUGGACGAAAGUCUGAUGGAGCAACGCCGCGUGAGUGAAGAAGGGUUUCGGCUCGUAAAACUCUGUUGUUAAAGAAGAACAUAUCUGAGAGUAACUGUUCAGGUAUUGACGGUAUUUAACCAGAAAGCCACGGCUAACUACGUGCCAGCAGCCGCGGUAAUACGUAGGUGGCAAGCGUUGUCCGGAUUUAUUGGGCGUAAAGCGAGCGCAGGCGGUUUUUUAAGUCUGAUGUGAAAGCCUUCGGCUCAACCGAAGAAGUGCAUCGGAAACUGGGAAACUUGAGUGCAGAAGAGGACAGUGGAACUCCAUGUGUAGCGGUGAAAUGCGUAGAUAUAUGGAAGAACACCAGUGGCGAAGGCGGCUGUCUGGUCUGUAACUGACGCUGAGGCUCGAAAGUAUGGGUAGCAAACAGGAUUAGAUACCCUGGUAGUCCAUACCGUAAACGAUGAAUGCUAAGUGUUGGAGGGUUUCCGCCCUUCAGUGCUGCAGCUAACGCAUUAAGCAUUCCGCCUGGGGAGUACGGCCGCAAGGCUGAAACUCAAAGGAAUUGACGGGGGCCCGCACAAGCGGUGGAGCAUGUGGUUUAAUUCGAAGCUACGCGAAGAACCUUACCAGGUCUUGACAUACUAUGCAAAUCUAAGAGAUUAGACGUUCCCUUCGGGGACAUGGAUACAGGUGGUGCAUGGUUGUCGUCAGCUCGUGUCGUGAGAUGUUGGGUUAAGUCCCGCAACGAGCGCAACCCUUAUUAUCAGUUGCCAGCAUUAAGUUGGGCACUCUGGUGAGACUGCCGGUGACAAACCGGAGGAAGGUGGGGAUGACGUCAAAUCAUCAUGCCCCUUAUGACCUGGGCUACACACGUGCUACAAUGGAUGGUACAACGAGUUGCGAACUCGCGAGAGUAAGCUAAUCUCUUAAAGCCAUUCUCAGUUCGGAUUGUAGGCUGCAACUCGCCUACAUGAAGUCGGAAUCGCUAGUAAUCGCGGAUCAGCAUGCCGCGGUGAAUACGUUCCCGGGCCUUGUACACACCGCCCGUCACACCAUGAGAGUUUGUAACACCCAAAGUCGGUGGGGUAACCUUUUAGGAACCAGCCGCCUAAGGUGGGACAGAUGAUUAGGGUGAAGUCGUAACAAGGUAGCCGUAGGAGAACC
rnacentral:rRNA from 2 species